UACGGAGGGGGCUACCGUUAUUCGGAAUUAUUGGGCGUAAAGGGCGCGUAGGCGGUCUCUAAAGUCAGAUGUGAAAGCCCGGGGCUUAACCUCGGAAGUGCAUUUGAAACUCAGAGACUAGAGUAUGGGAGAGGGAAGUGGAAUUCCUGGUGUAGCGGUGAAAUGCGUAGAUAUCAGGAGGAACACCAGUGGCGAAGGCGACUUCCUGGACCAAUACUGACGCUGAGGCGCGAAGGCGUGGGGAGGAAACAGG
rnacentral:rRNA from 1 species